rnacentral:lncRNA from 1 species
AAGCCCGCCGGGAAGAAACGGUGACCUCAACAAGAUGAUAUGGUGUUUAAAAACACUUUCAAACCCCCUCUCAAAAGGUUCUCGACAAAGAACAAAAACCUUCGCAUACUUAGUGGUUGCCAUGGCACGGCCUCACAAUGUUUUUUACAUCAUAGAGGGUGUUACUACAUUCCAUACAUUCUUAAGAGAUCAGAGGGAUAUUUUGGCGUGUAAUAUGGGCUCCACCUCAUGAAGCUGAUGUAUGGAACCACUAUCCACAAUGCUGGGAUAUCUGGCACUCCCUGAUUAAGGAAGUGGUGGAGGAGAGCAUUCCCUGCAGGACACAGGAAAGGAAGAGGCCGUCCACAGCCAGGCAACACAGGCAUGAAUACUCCAGUGCCUCAGGCAGUGUGCGGAUCACAGAUGUCCAGCUGCAGGGUCUGUUAAUGAGGCUGGGGAACUCCUCCCAGAGAGAGCAGGACAUUGGGGGGGGAAUGUCCCAUUGCAGAGUUCCGCUUCCCUCCCAGAACACUCCUACAGCCAGCUAGCUCUGUUACGGUAGGCCUGUGAUGAAAACACAGGCAUUAAUCCUUUGGGGAACAUUGGUGUAGGUUGUCAUAGUGUGUCAUCUUUUGUUUACAAAAAAAGCCUCAUUUAAUUUUCAGUUGAACAACUUAAUCAAUCCUUCUAGGAGGUGGCUUAUGCUUUCACAGAGGUUGUGUAAAGUUUUGAACGUGAUUUGUACUGUACACAUGAUUUGCACUGUACUGUAAGGUUUGGUUUGAAGCCUCUGGAAGGAAGACACAGAGCCCAGGGGACUUCCUUUGGGUUGGAGCGCAUCAUGUUGGGACCAGAGUGCACCAGAGUCCUAUGCAAAGACAAUGGCCAAGCCAUAGCAUGGUACACACCUGCACGCUGUACUGGGGUAAAGCCACACCAGGCCUGGGCUGAGCAUCAUGAAAAAGUGGAGAGCUGCAGAGAGGACACUUUGUCCUGUGAAGAGGCAAGCAUCCCUGCUACAGAGAUCAAAUGCCCUGACAAAAAAACCUUUCUUCUGAUUAAAAGGAAGAAGCAUGUGUUUAGGGUGUGCCACAGUCCGUGGACCCAGAACCCUUCAUCCAUAACCCAUCCUUCCUGCUCCCCCUGUGCUCUGCUAGACUUCCGGGUCCAGCCCCAGAGCAACCCUGCAAGGCCACUCACCGCCCUGUGUAGGAGGAAUGAUGUUCCUUGGCCCUCAGCCCCCCUGCGCCUCCCCCCUCCAGCAGUACCGCACUGCAGCUACACUCCACAACAGGGUUCUCACUGCUUAGAUGCAUGAAAGUCAAAGAGGUAGCUACUGCUGCACAGGCACAUGACUGUCCAGGGACUACGGACAUGAGACUGAAACCACCUUGGGCAAGCAGCAGAAACAGAGCCCCACUCUAAUCUUCAUCUGUCCUCCUACAGUUUCAUUAUAUCUAUUUUACAGAAGAUCCUCUGUACUGUCAGCUUUGGCAUCUAUUGGUUGCCUGUUUAAAUACAUUGUACAUGGUUAAAUGGUCACAAAUGUCAACAUUACUCAAUUGGAUAAAAUAAAAAAAACAUAUAAAAAAAUUCAAAAAUUAAAUAGGCAGG